rnacentral:pre_miRNA from 1 species
CUAUAUCUACCCUGUAGAUCCGAAUUUGUAUAUAUCACAUGACAAAUGCGAAUCUGCGGAGUUAUAUUUA